GGUGGGAUGCUGAGGUGAAGGAGAGUGAGUGGUGGGAUGCUGAGGUGAAGGAGAGUGAGUGGUAGGAUGCUGAGGUGAAGAGGAGUGAGUGGUAGGAUGCUGAGGUGAAGGAGAGUGAGUGGUAGGAUGCUGAGGUGAAGGAGAGUGAGUGGUAGGAUGCUGAGGUGAAGGAGAGUGAGUGGUAGGAUGCUGAGGUGAAGGAGAGUGAGUGGUAGGAUGCUGAGGUGAAGGAGAGUGAGUGGUAGGAUGCUGAGGUGAAGGAGAGUGAGUGGUGGGAUGCUGAGGUGAAGGAGAGUGAGUGGUAGGAUGCUGAGGUGAAGGAGAGUGAGUGGUGGGAUGCUGAGGUGAAGGAGAGUGAGUGGUAGGAUGCUGAGGUGAAGGAGAGUGAGUUGUAGGAUGCUGAGGUGAAGGAGAGUGAGUGGUAGGAUGCUGAGGUGAAGGAGAGUGAGUGGUAGGAUGCUGAGGUGAAGGAGAGUGAGUGGUAGGAUGCUGAGGUGAGGGAAUGUGUGGCGGGACGUGGCCGGACAGUUUGCUUACGGACAUUUUGCCUACGGACCGUUUGCCUACCGGACCCUGUGCCUAACGGUCAUGAUAACUAAAUAACGACAUGUCUAUUAGACGCACCUGAUAGCGGCAGUUUUAUUUCAUCUAAUUUUAUUUUAUUUUAUCAAUCACGUUUAAUUAUUCAUUCAUGUCUAAAAUGGGGUGUAUUAAUGCAUUAAAAAGUAUAUGAAAUAAAACUUAAAUUCAGUGUAGAAUAUAAAAAUAUCAUUCUUAGAGUGGUCAGACAUAGUCAGAAAUUCUAUAAAUUGUGAGCGAUGGCACAAGAGUAUUCAGGAAUCGGAGUGGCGGGAUGCUGAGGUGAGGGAGAGUGUAUGGCGUGGUCCUGGCAGGAUGGUGAGUUGAGGAUGAGUAUGGUGGGUUUCUAAGGUGAAGAGAGUGCAAGGCAGGAUGAUGAGAUGAGUGGGGGUGUACAAUACACCGGUUAUCUUCAGAACUCUACUGAGGGUUAAGGAAAACUGUAAGUCAAAACAAUUAAAGGAACAUUGACAUCGGAAUUUUUAGGAAAAUCAGAAAUCUCUCACCUACCAUUAAUUUUGUUUGCCUAUAAUUUCAUU